rnacentral:tmRNA from 1 species
GGGGCCGAUCGGUUUCGACACGUUGAUUUGAGACUGUGAGAAGCGUGCCGAGAAUGCAAGUCAUCUCGUAAACGUGCUUGCAAAAAAUAGGUGCAAACUCUAAACGCGCCGACUUCGCACUUGCUGCUUAAGCAGGGCGGUUAAAAAGUCCGUCACCCGUGGGUUCGUCUUCGCCCCGCGGCUGGCGUCAUCUUAGAAGACUAGCUGCUGCGUCGCGCCUCAGGGCGCAGCGGGACUUUUCACUGCGGCUGGGUCUGUCGUCCAAGGUGUUCGUAACAAUGGACGGGAUCGAGCAAAACGUCUAACGAACUACGCACGUAGAAGGCACAGAAUCAUCAACGUGGACCCGGGUUCGAUUCCCGGCGGCUCCACUU